GCCAUCUCCAAACAAAGUAACUUCACGUAUGAACAAUACAUUGAAAGCGCCUUUGCAAUGGUGUUUUUGUGCCUAAAUACUCUGCUGUACAUGUGCCAUGCAAUGAUGUCUGGCAGCACAUGCCUGUUUUCAGUGAGGAAACAGACUCACUCGGCUGAUGAGAACUGGAGCUGGAUUUCAGCCCUGCUCCUUCUGUCCCUGGGGCCCUGUGCUCACUUUCUGCCCUGGGAAGGCCAGACCUGUCUCCAUGCAGGCCUGUCCCCCAGCAUCUCAAGAAGCAACAGUGAAGAGACAACAGAAGAAGAGACAAAACGUUGCAGUGGACCUGAUGCCAUUGGGCUGGGGCCUUCAGAGUGAGAUGAAGCCAGGCAUUCGGGACAGCCCCAGACCACUGGCAGGGUCAACAGCAGGCCAUGUGGCUGAGUCCAGGUCCUUAUUGAAAGGGACUGGCUGCUGUGAGCUGCAAAGUCAUGACAAUGCCAGUUCAGGCAGCUGCCAAGUUCCACUUUGCAACUUCCACAAAGCCAAAGGCCCACACAGACCAGUGGAUGCCUUGUAAAGAAGGUGAGGACCUGGGGGGUUUUAAGCUCCUGGAACAAAGAGCUGAAUGCCUCCAUGGACCUGAGAAAGGAUUAAGAAGAAACUGAUGUUUCCGAUGUGACCAAGAGCCAAAGCUUG
rnacentral:lncRNA from 1 species